CCUACGGGAGGCAGCAGUGAGGAAUAUUGGUCAAUGGACGAGAGUCUGAACCAGCCAAGUAGCGUGAAGGAUGACUGCCCUAUGGGUUGUAAACUUCUUUUAUCUGGGAAUAAAAUGUUCCACGUGUGGGAUUUUGUAUGUACCAUAUGAAUAAGGAUCGGCUAACUCCGUGCCAGCAGCCGCGGUAAUACGGCGGAUCCGAGCGUUGUCCGGAUUUAUUUGGUUUAAAGGGAGCUGAGGUCGGUUGUUAAGUAAGUUGUGAAAGUUUGCGGCUCAACCGUAAAAUUGCAGUUGAAACUGGCAGUCUUGAGUACAGUAGAGGUGGGCGGAAUGCGUGGUGUAGCGGUGAAAUGCUUAGAUAUCACGAAGAACUCCGAUUGCGAAGGCAGUUCACUGGACUGCAACUGACACUGAGGCUCGAAAGUGUGGGUAUCAAACAGGAUUAGAUACCCUGGUAGUC
rnacentral:rRNA from 1 species